rnacentral:rRNA from 1 species
GACGAACUGUCCUAACGUUGUUCGGAAUCACUGGGCUUAAAGGGCGCGUAGGCGGUCCAACAAGUCGGGGGUGAAAUCCUGCAGCUUAACUGCAGAAGUGCCUUCGAUACUGUUGGUCUCGAGGGAGAUAGGGGUGUGCGGAACUUCCAGUGGAGCGGUGAAAUGCGUUGAUAUUGGAAGGAACGCCGGAGGCGAAAGCGGCGCACUGGAUCUCUUCUGACGCUGAGGCGCGAAAGCUAGGGGAGCAAACGGG